rnacentral:rRNA from 1 species
GACAGAGGGGGCAAGCGUUGCUCGGAAUCACUGGGCGUAAAGGGCGCGUAGGCGGGAUGGCAAGUCAGUCGUGAAAUCUCUCGGCUCAACCGAGAAACGUCGGCUGAUACUGCCGUUCUUGAGGGAUGCAGAGGAGACUGGAAUUCCCGGUGUAGCGGUGAAAUUCGUAGAUAUCCGGAGGAACACCGGUGGCGAAGGCGGCUUCCUGGACCGACACUGACGCUGAGGCGCGAAAGCUAGGGGAGCAAACGGG